UACGGAGGGUGCAAGCGUUAUCCGGAAUUACUGGGUUUAAAGGGAGCGUAGGCUGUUUGAUAAGUCAGAGGUGAAAGCCCGACGCUUAACGUUGGAAUUGCCUUUGAUACUGUCAGACUUGAGAGGAGUUGAGGUGGGCGGAAUGCGACAUGUAGCGGUGAAAUGCAUAGAGAUGUCGUAGAACACCGAUUGCGAAGGCAGCUCACUGGACUCACUCUGACGCUGAGGCUCGAAAGUGUGGGUAGCGAACAGG
rnacentral:rRNA from 1 species